rnacentral:misc_RNA from 1 species
UUAACUUUUUGUUUUAUUUUCUCAGACGACAUUAAAAUAGAGUUUGUUGGUCCUUCGGCGGGGGCUCGCCCGCGUUAGCCGACGGCCGCUCAGAAAAGCAGACGCCCCGCCGAAGCAACAUGUAAUUAUAAACAAAUGGGUGGGAGGGCGGACCUUGCGAUCCAACACUCGGUAAUGAUCCUUCCGCAGGUUCACCUACGGAAA